UGUUAGCAUUUGAUUUUUAGGAUGAAGGCUGACCACUGUCUCAUGGUCAAACUGACCUUUUCUUGGAAUUUUAUUUUACAUUUUCAAUUUAUUUUGGAUUUAUUUUUGACCUAGUUUGGUUGGUUGACUUUUAAUUUGACUUCUGUUUUAUUUUAAUUAAUUCACAUACCAAUUUUCAUUAUUUUUAAAAUCUUUUUAGGGGAUGAUGAUGUCCUGACCCCAUAUUAUUUAGUUUAAUUUUUCAUAAUUUUCUUGAUUAAUU
rnacentral:lncRNA from 1 species